UACGUAGGGUGCGAGCGUUAAUCGGAAUUACUGGGCGUAAAGUGUGCGCAGGCGGCCGAGCAAGUCGAGUGUGAAAGCCCCGAGCUUAACUUGGGAACUGCGCUCGAAACUACUUGGCGUAGAGUGUGGCAGAGGGAGGUGGAAUUCCCGGUGUAGCGGUGAAAUGCGCAGAUAUCGGGAAGAACACCCGUGGCGAAGGCGGUUCUCUGGGACGGUACUGACGCUGAGACGCGAAAGCGUGGGGA
rnacentral:rRNA from 1 species